rnacentral:rRNA from 1 species
GCUCAAGACAUGCCUGUUCUUUUUAGAGUUUUUUUUCCUGCUCAGAACGAACGCUGGCGGCAGGCUUAACACAUGCAAGUCGAACGCCCCGCAAGGGGAGUGGCAGACGGGUGAGUAACGCGUGGGAACAUACCCUUUCCUGCGGAAUAGCUCCGGGAAACUGGAAUUAAUACCGCAUACGCCCUACGGGGGAAAGAUUUAUCGGGGAAGGAUUGGCCCGCGUUGGAUUAGCUAGUUGGUGGGGUAAAGGCCUACCAAGGCGACGAUCCAUAGCUGGUCUGAGAGGAUGAUCAGCCACAUUGGGACUGAGACACGGCCCAAACUCCUACGGGAGGCAGCAGUGGGGAAUAUUGGACAAUGGGCGCAAGCCUGAUCCAGCCAUGCCGCGUGAGUGAUGAAGGCCUUAGGGUUGUAAAGCUCUUUCACCGGAGAAGAUAAUGACGGUAUCCGGAGAAGAAGCCCCGGCUAACUUCGUGCCAGCAGCCGCGGUAAUACGAAGGGGGCUAGCGUUGUUCGGAAUUACUGGGCGUAAAGCGCACGUAGGCGGAUAUUUAAGUCAGGGGUGAAAUCCCAGAGCUCAACUCUGGAACUGCCUUUGAUACUGGGUAUCUUGAGUAUGGAAGAGGUAAGUGGAAUUCCGAGUGUAGAGGUGAAAUUCGUAGAUAUUCGGAGGAACACCAGUGGCGAAGGCGGCUUACUGGUCCAUUACUGACGCUGAGGGCGAAAAGACGCC